rnacentral:lncRNA from 10 species
CGCGGACACGCGUGGUGUGCGCGGUCCCCGUGCAGCCCGCCCUGCCGCAGGCUGCCCUCCACCCCCAGCCCCAGCUCCAGCCCCCAGCCCGUCCCCACUGCUCAUAUCCGAGCAGAUAGACCCCGGCCCCACCCUCCCGUGCUGAGCCUCCUUUCUGCCGGGAAGUUCGUCCGGGAGUCAAACAUCGCUGCCCUCCGGUUGCGCCACGGAGGGGGAGCCAGGAUAGGAAGCUGCCGUGAAAUCAGGAAGCUGAGCGCGCCGGGCCCCGGAUCCGAACAGAAAAGGCUUCCACCCGCUCCCCUGAGGGAUCCCACGCUGAGGGACUGAACCCCGCACCCCAGCCGCGCUCACCACCCCCACCCUCUCGCCUGGGCUGCUCUGACCUGGGGUUCACUUUCUGAAGAUGAUUCUGAAGAAGAGGAGGAAUUGGAAGAGGAAUCCGAGCCUUCUGAAUGAAUUCCAGAACUGCCACUCAAAGUGCCCUAUGAGGAGCUGUGGUAACAAGGAAAUGUUCUCAUGACUCAAAAAUCAGUGGAAAAAGGUACAGGAUGAGAAGCCUUGUUUCCCAACCCUAUCAACAGAAACAAGAUCUUGCUCUGUUGACCAAGCUGGAGUGCAGUGGUGCAAUCAUAGCUCAUGGCAGCCUUAAACUCCUGAGCUCAAGCCAUCCUCCCACCUCACCCUUCCAAGUACAGGUGAGCACCACCAUGCCUGGCUAAUUAAAAAAAAAUUGUUUUUUGUAGACAGGGUCUUGCUAUAUUGCCCAGGCUGGUCUCAAACUCCUGGGUUCAAGCAAUCCUCCUGCCUGGGCCUCCCUAAGUACUGGGAUUACUGGUAUGAGCCACCAUGCUUGGUCAUACUUCUACUCUUCAGCAAUCUACUAUUUUUCUUUUCUUUUCUUUUUUUUUUUUUUUGAGACAGGGUCUCAC